UCGAGAAUCUUCGGCAAUGGGCGCAAGCCUGACCGAGCGACGCCGCGUGGAGGACGAAGGCCCUCGGGUUGUAAACUCCUGUCGAGGGGGAAGAAGGGUCCGCAAGGACCUUGACUGAUCCCUGGAGGAAGCACGGGCUAAGUUCGUGCCAGCAGCCGCGGUAAGACGAACCGUGCGAACGUUAUUCGGAAUCACUGGGCUUAAAGCGCGUGUAGGCGGGCCGGCACGUCGGUGCUGAAAGCCCCCGGCUCAACCGGGGAACGGGCGCCGAUACGACCGGCCUGGAGGGGCGUAGGGGGAUCGGGAACUUCCGGUGGAGCGGUGAAAUGCGUUGAGAUCGGAAGGAACGCCCGUGGCGAAAGCGCGGUCCUGGACGCCUGCUGACGCUGAGACGCGAAAGCCAGGGGAGCGAACGG
rnacentral:rRNA from 1 species